rnacentral:rRNA from 1 species
GAUCAUGGCCCAGGAUGAACGCUAGCUACAGGCUUAACACAUGCAAGUCGAGGGGCAGCAUGGUCUUAGCUUGCUAAGGCCGAUGGCGACCGGCGCACGGGUGAGUAACACGUAUCCAACCUGCCGUCUACUCUUGGACAGCCUUCUGAAAGGAAGAUUAAUACAAGAUGGCAUCAUGAGUCCGCAUGUUCACAUGAUUAAAGGUAUUCCGGUAGACGAUGGGGAUGG